UGGACUAUGUACAGCUGCAGCGAUCAGUUAGCUGCUCAGAUAGCAGAUGUUUAAAGUUGGUGAGGGAGAUAAAAGUCUCCAACUUCAACGAUUUUUGCAAUUCGUUCCAGUCACAGGCAGCAGAAAACUGGAAAGAAAGGCGUCCAAUGAGGUGUUGGCUUUAGGGAUGAUCAGUGAGAUUCACCUGCUGGAGCGCGUGCUACGAGUACUUUUGUUCAGUAUGUUGCCGAUUUGUUGGUUUGUUCACAAUCAGAGGAAAGAUGUCACGAGGACACUCAAGCAUGGUUGAUUGUCCCCUCGUAAAAUGCAGUUAUGCUGGAGCUCCGUUAAAUAUUUACAGUGGCAAGAAAAACUUUGUGACCCCUUUGGAAUUACCUGGAUUUAUGCAUAAAUUGGUCAUCAACUUUGAUCUGAUCUUCAUCUAAGUCAAAGCAAUAGACGAAUACAGUGUGCUUAAACUAAUAACACACAGAUGAUUGUAGUUUUCUUGUCUAUAUUGAAUACAUCAUUUAAUCAUUCACAGUGUAGGUUGGGGAAAGUAUGUGAACCCCUUGGCUAAUGACCUCCAAAAGCUAAUUGGAGUCAGCUAACCUGGAGUCCAGUCAGUGAGAUGAGAUUGGAGAUGUUGGUUAGAGCUGUCUUGCCCAAAAAAACACUCACAAAAUUUGAGUUUACUAUUCACAAAAAACAUUGCCUGAUGUGAACCAUGCCUCAAACAAAAUAGAUCUCAGAAGACCUAAGAUUAAGAAUUGUUGACUUGCAUAAAGCUGGAAAGGGUUACAAAAGUAUCUCUAAAAGCAUUGAUGUUCAUCAGUCCAUGGUAAGACACAUUGUCUAUAAAUGGAGAAUGUUCAGCACUGUUGCUACUCUCCCUAGGAGUGGCUGUCUGGCAAAGAUGACUGCAAGAGCACAGCGCAUAAUGCUCAAUGAGGUUAAGAAGAAUCUUAGAGUAUCAGAUAAAGACAGAAAUCUCUGGAACAUGCUAACAUCUCUGUUGAUGAGUCUACAAUACGUAAGACACUAAACAAGAAUGGUGUUCAUGGGAGGACACCACGGAAGAAGUCACUGCUGUCCAAAUAAAACAUUGCUACACGUCUGAAUUUUGUCAAAGUGCACCUGGAUGUUCCACAGCGCUACCAGCAUAAUGUUCUGUGGGCGGAUGAAACUACAGAUGAGUUGUUUGGAAGGAACACACAACACUGUGUGGAGAAAAGAAGGCCCAGCACACCAACAUCAUCCCAACUGUAAAGUAUGGUGGAGGGAGCAUCAUGGUUUGGGGCUGCUUUGCUGCCCCAGGGCCUGGACAGCUUGCUAUCGUUGACAGAAAAAUGAAUUCCCAUGUUUAUCAAGACCUUUUGAAGGAGAAUGUUAGGCUAACUGUUCUCCAAUUGAAGCUCAACAGAAGUUGGGAGAUGCAACAGGACAAUGAUGCAAAACACAGAAGUAAAUCAACAGAAGAAAAUAAGCCUUCUGGAGUGGCCCAGUCAGAGUCCUGACCUCAACCCCAUUGAGAUGCUGUGGCAUGACCUCAAGAGCAGUUCACACCAGAAAUCCCAAGACUAUUGCUGAACUGAAACAGUUUUGUAAAGAGGAAUGGUGUUACAUUUAUUGUUUCUGUAUUGUGGUUUUGUUUGUAUGUGUGUUUCAGGAUGGCUUCCUAAAAUUCCCCCAAGCAGCUGAUUGGUCGGCCCCAUUGCUAAUUGGAGCUGACCCCGCCCUCUCGUCAGAGGAUACAGCUGUUUCCCAUUGGACUCCUCCUGAAGCUAGAAAAGCCUGUGUUCCUUUGUUAGGAGAGAGCUGAUUGUUGUGUCCUGUGUUAGUUUGUUGCUCAGAGAAAGAGAGCUUAUUAGUAUGUCCUGUGUGUGUCAAUAGGGCGCAGUGUUUUUCAUUCUUGAAAUUGUUUACCUACGUUUGUAUUCUGUUUCAUUUGUUCCCAGGGGGGAAGGGGAAGGCAACUAGGGAGUGCUUCGGCAAGAGGCCUGCGGGCAUACAUAACCAGUAGUAUUUACAGUCUAUGCACACUAGGUAAGACCUGGGCGGACCACCCCCUGUAUUUUGGUUAGCGCACCAGGAGGUGCUAAAAGGUUAGGUAAGUGGGUAGGCAGGUAAGAUAGGAGAUGGUAGGUUAGGUAAGUAGUGGGUAGGCAGGUAAGAUAGGAGAGGGUAGGUUAGGUAAGUAGUGGGUAGGCAGGUAAGAUGGGAGAUGGUAGGCAGGUAAGUAGUGGGUAGGCAGGUAAGAUAGGAGAUGGUAGGUUAGGUAAGUAGUGGGUAGGCAGGUAAGAUAGGAGAGGUUAGGUAAGUAGUGGGUAGGCAGGUAAGAUAGGAGAGGUUAGGUAAGUAGUGGGUAGGCAGGUAAGAUAGGAGAGGGUAGGUUAGGUAAGUAGUGGGUAGGCAGGUAAGAUAGGAGAGGGUAGGUUAGGUAAGUAGUGGGUAGGCAGGUAAGAUAGGAGAGGGUAGGUUAGGUAAGUAGUGGGUAGGCAGGUAAGAUAGGAGAGGGUAGGUUAGGUAAGUAGUGGCUAGGCAGGUAAGAUAGGAGUGGAGAGGUUAGGUAAGUAGUGGGUAGGCAGGUAAGAUAGGAGAGGGUAGGUUAGGUAAGUAGUGGGUAGGCAGGUAAGUAGUGGGUAGGCAGGUAAGAUAGGAGAUGGUAGGUUAGGUAAGUAGUGGGUAGGCAGGUAAGAUAGGAGAGGGUAGGUUAGGUAAGUAGUGGGUAGGCAGGUAAGAUAGGAGAGGGUAGGUUAGGUAAGUAAUGGGUAGGCAGGUAAGUAGUGGGUAGACAGGUAAGAUGGGAGAGGUUAGGUUAGGUAAGUAGUGGGUAGGCAGGUAAGAUAGGAGAUGGUAGGUUAGGUAAGUAGUGGGUAGGCAGGUAAGAUAGGAGAGGGUAGGUUAGGUAAGUAGUGGGUAGGCAGGUAAGAUAGGAGAUGGUAGGUUAGGUAAGUAGUGGGUAGGCAGGUAAGAUAGGAGAUGGUAGGUUAGGUAAGUAGUUGGUAGGGAGGUAAGAUAGGAGAGGGUAGGUUAGGUAAGUAGUGGGUAGGCAGGUAAGAUAGGAGAUGGUAGGUUAGGUAAGUAGUGGGUAGGCAGGUAAGAUAGGAGAGGGUAGGUUAGGUAAGUAGUGGGUAGGCAGGUAAGAUGGGAGAUGGUAGGCAGGUAAGUAGUGGGUAGGCAGGUAAGAUAGGAGAGGGUAGGUUAGGUAAGUAAUGGGUAGGCAGGUAAGUAGUGGGUAGACAGGUAAGAUAUGAGAGGGUAGGUUAGGUAAGUAGUGGGUAGGCAGGUAAGUAGUGGGUAGGCAGGUAAGAUGGGAGAUGGUAGGUUAGGUAAGUAGUGGGUAGGCAGGUAAGAUAGGAGAGGGUAGGUUAGGUAAGUAGUGGGUAGGCAGGUAAGAUGGGAGAUGGUAGGCAGGUAAGUAGUGGGUAGGCAGGUAAGAUAGGAGAUGGUAGGUUAGGUAAGUAGUGGGUAGGCAGGUAAGAUAGGAGAGGGUAGGUUAAGUAAGUAGUGGGUAGGCAGGUAAGAUAGGAGAGGGUAGGUUAGGUAAGUAGUGGGUAGGCAGGUAAGAUGGGAGAUGGUAGGCAGGUAAGUAGUGGGUAGGCAGGUAAGAUAUGAGAAGGUAGGUUAGGUAAGUAAUGGGUAGGCAGGUAAGUAGUGGGUAGACAGGUAAGAUGGGAGAUGGUAGGCAGGUAAGUAGUGGGUAGGCAGGUAAGAUAGGAGAGGUUAGGUAAGUAGUGGGUAGGCAGGUAAGAUAGGAGAGGGUAGGUUAAGUAAGUAGUGGGUAGGCAGGUAAGAUAGGAGAGGGUAGGUUAAGUAAGUAGUGGGUAGGCAGGUAAGAUAGGAGAGGGUAGGUUAGAUAAGUAGUGGGUAGGCAGGUAAGAUAGGAGAGGGUAGGUUAGGUAAGUAGUGGGUAGGCAGGUAAGAUAGGAGAGGGUAGGUUAGGUAAGUAGUGGGUAGGCAGGUAAGAUAGGAGAUGGUAGGUUAGGUAAGUAGUGGGUAGGCAGGUAAGAUAGGAUAUGGUAGGUUAGGUAAGUAGUGGGUAGGCAGGUAAGAUAGGAGAGGGUAGGUUAGGUAAGUAGUGGGUAGGCAGGUAAGAUGGGAGAUGGUAGGUUAGGUAAGUAGUGGGUAGGCAGGUAAGAUAGGAGAGGAGAGGUUAGGUAAGUAGUGGAUAGGCAGGUAAGAUAGGAGAGGGUAGGUUAGGUAAGUAGUGGGUAGGCAGGUAAGUAGUGGGUAGGCAGGUAAGAUAGGAGAGGGUAGGUUAGGUAAGUAGUGGGUAGGCAGGUAAGUAGUGGGUAGGCAGGUAAGAUAGGAGAGGGUAGGUUAGGUAAGUAGUGGGUAGGCAGGUAAGUAGUGGGUAGGCAGGUAAGAUAGGAGAGGUUAGGUAAGUAGUGGGUAGGCAGGUAAGAUAGGAGAGGGUAGGUUAAGUAAGUAGUGGGUAGGCAGGUAAGAUAGGAGAGGGUAGGUUAAGUAAGUAGUGGGUAGGCAGGUAAGAUAGGAGAGGGUAGGUUAGAUAAGUAGUGGGUAGGCAGGUAAGAUAGGAGAGGGUAGGUUAGGUAAGUAGUGGGUAGGCAGGUAAGAUAGGAGAGGGUAGGUUAGGUAAGUAGUGGGUAGGCAGGUAAGAUAGGAGAUGGUAGGUUAGGUAAGUAGUGGGUAGGCAGGUAAGAUAGGAUAUGGUAGGUUAGGUAAGUAGUGGGUAGGCAGGUAAGAUAGGAGAGGGUAGGUUAGGUAAGUAGUGGGUAGGCAGGUAAGAUAGGAGAUGGUAGGUUAGGUAAGUAGUGGGUAGGCAGGUAAGAUAGGAGAGGAGAGGUUAGGUAAGUAGUGGAUAGGCAGGUAAGAUAGGAGAGGGUAGGUUAGGUAAGUAGUGGGUAGGCAGGUAAGUAGUGGGUAGGCAGGUAAGAUAGGAGAGGGUAGGUUAGGUAAGUAGUGGGUAGGCAGGUAAGUAGUGGGUAGGCAGGUAAGAUAGGAGAGGGUAGGUUAGGUAAGUAGUGGGUAGGCAGGUAAGUAGUGGGUAGGCAGGUAAGAUAGGAGAUGGGGCUUUGACAUUUACUUUCUUUGCUUUAGUUUCGUUCAGCCCCUUUCCCCCAAAUGUAUCGUGUGAAGGAAUAAAUGACCAGUAAAUGGUAAAUUCUCUGCCUUUUGUCAUCCUUACUCGCACCUACAGUCCCAUACAGUCCCAUACCUCUUUUACUCCACGGGGAGUUGAGUUGUAGCGUACGUAACAAAUGGUCCAAAAUUCCUCCUGACCGUUGUGUAGGUCUGAUCCGCAACUACAGAAAAUGUUUGGUUGUGGUAAUU